UGCUGGUGAUCUUCGGGGAUUUGGGA
rnacentral:piRNA from 1 species